ACCAGGGAAUAAAAGGACUGUAUGUGAAGAACGCCAAGAAUUUUUCACCCGGGACUGUGUACCGAUCGUGGUAGAAGAUGUGGGAGCAGCCAAGAAGACUGUGGUGGCAUCGGUAUACUUUGCCGGUGACGAGGCGUGCCCACCGCCCGAAAUCUCUGCACUGGCAGAAUACUGCAAGAGGACACACUAACCCAUCACUAACAUAACGUGAUAUGGGGCAGCAGCGACGUGAAUUAAAGAGCGUUAAAAUUAAUGGAAAUAUUUGUCAACCUACAGCGGGGAAGACAUCUUGUGGUUUCCAUGCAUUACAUAGGCUUGCUCAGUGGCUUAAACAGCGACUUAUACACUAGUAGGCAUAAGUAUUUUGACAAAUCGCCUG